rnacentral:rRNA from 1 species
GGGCACCUACGGGGGGCAGCAGUGAGGAAUAUUGGUCAAUGGGCGGGAGCCUGAACCAGCCAAGUCGCGUGAGGGAAGACGGUCCUAUGGAUUGUAAACCUCUUUAGGCGGGGAGCAAUGCCAGGCACGCGUGCCCGGAGGGAGAGUACCCGCAGAAUAAGCAUCGGCUAACUACGUGCCAGCAGCCGCGGUAAUACGUAGGGGGCAAGCGUUAUCCGGCUUUACUGGGUGUCAAGGGAGCGCAGGCGGUAUGGCAAGUCAGAUGUGAAAACCCAGGGCUCAACCCUUG